rnacentral:rRNA from 1 species
UGGGGAAUCUUGCGCAAUGGGCGAAAGCCUGACGCAGCAACGCCGCGUGAGCGAAGAAGGCCUUCGGGUUGUAAAGCUCUGUAAGGAGGAAAGAAGGCACCUGGGUUAAUAGCCCAAGGGCUGACGGUACCUCCAAAGGAAGCCACGGCUAACUACGUGCCAGCCGCCGCGGUAAUACGGAGGUGGCAAGCGUUGUCCGGAAUCAUUUGGCGUAAAGAGCGCGUAGGUGGCUUGUCAGGUCUGGUGUGAAAUUUCGGGGCUCAACCCCGAACCUGCAUCGGAAAC